CUUCUCUCUCUUUUUUGUAGUCAUAUAAAGCUCUGUACUGGUAUCCUUCUGCACUCAUCUUGGCAAAUAUUUUAAAAUUCAAUAAUUUAAU